rnacentral:tRNA from 1 species
GCCGAAGUGGUGGAAUUGGUAGACACGCCAUCUUGAGGGGGUGGUGGGACCUCCCGUGCUGGUUCAAGUCCAGUCUUCGGCACCA